UUUCCCAGACUUCUUGAAUUACCAUUGCAUAAUCCACCAACAAGCGUUAUGCGCUAAAAUGCUCAACAUGAAAGAGAUCAUGGAUGUGGCAACGAAGAUCGCCUGUUCUAUUCGAGCCAGAUCUCUUCAAAGACGGUUAUUCCGUGCACAUCUGGAGAAGGCUGACUGCGACCACUCUGAGUUGUUGCUACACACUGACGUGAGAUGGCUUAGUCGAGGGAAAUUCCUGCAAAGAUUUUGAGAGCUCUGUCCGGAGAUUAAGGAGUUUUUCCGUGUAGCUGGACAUGCAGAAUACAAGCAACUAAAUGACGGUCAGUGGCUGUUAGACUUGGCAUUUUUAACCGAUCUGACAAACAUGUUGAAUGACCUUAAUCUAGAGCUGCAAGGAAAAGACAAAACAGUGAUCAAUAUGAUCAGCUCAGUUAAUGCUUUCAAACGAAAGAUGCAACAUCUCUCCUCAAAGCUGCAGCGCCAUGAUUUGGCAAACUUCCAGAACCUGGCGUCAGAGCUGGAGAUGCAAGGGAAGGCAUGUGUGCAACUUGACAGUGCACGCUACACAGAGCAGAUUGACAAUUGUCGGUCAGAGUUUGACAAACGCUUUCAAGACUUUUCUUUGCUCGAGCCAGUCGCUACAUUCAUGUGCUAUCCUUUUCGGGAAGAUGCUGAGGUUGAUUCACUGGCAUCAAAAAUUGCAACACUGUUUCACCUGAACUCUUCUGGAGUGGAAGAUGAGAUUUUGACACUACAAGCCGACAUUGAGCUGAAGUCCAGAGCUCAUGGACAGUUCUGGAACUUACUCACAGAGGUAAAGUACCCCAACAUGAGGAAAUGUGCUACCUCCUUGACUGCAUUAUUCGGCUCCACUUAUUUAUGUGAGUCAGCCUUUUCCCACAUGAAGAUCAUUAAGUCCAAGUACCGUUCCACCAUGACUGAUGAACAUUUGGAAGUGUGCUUGAGGCUGGCUGUCAGCAGCUACUGUCCGGACUAUGUAUCCCUGGCUGAUUCAAUUCAGUGCAAGUCAUCAGAGUAAACUCAGGUAAUGACAAAAAAUGUACAUCGUUAAUUAUGUUGUGUUGUGCAAUAUUGGCUCACGCGGUUAUGCAAGGUACAUCAACAUACAUUGUACAUAUAAAGAAUCCUCAAUAUAUUUGUAAAUAAAUAUAUGUUUUGCAUUUUUGUAGUGGGUAGAUCAUUUUGACUUGGUCAUUUUAUAAGUAGCUCACAUGCUGAAAAAGUGUGAGCACCCCUGGUCUAGAGUGUGGCCCUUGGAGUGUGUGGGGAAGUGUACAUGUUGAGUAAAGUUGAAACAGUCCAAGACUACACUGAGGACAGAGGCAGGUGUAAAAUGAGUGGAGUCGACACGGAUGUUGAAGUCGCCCAGUGGCACUAGACGGGAAGUCAGGGAACAGGCAGAUGAGAGUAGUUCAGUUAAUUCAGACAGAAAAUUUUUUAUGUUACAUUACAUUACAUUACAGGCAUUUGGCAGACACUCUUAUCCAGAGCGAUGUACAACAAAGUGUAUAACCAGACCCAGGAACAAGUGUAUCGAAAACCCUAGAGAGAAGUACCGUUCCAAGUGCAGGGAACAACUGCCUAGUUUAACUUGGACCCUGUAGGUUAAACUGAUUAACAUUAACACAAACAAGAACAGCAACAACGCAGUCUAUGCAAAAAUACAAGCAGUAAUUUAGACACGGGUGCAUUAACUAAGUCACCUACAAAACAGCUACCUAGUUUCAACCCUAAGCUUACAGUCAAUUUAGAGAUUAAAUCAAGCAAUAUGCGAGAAUAUGUAAGUAACUACGCUUAAAGCUGUGGUUUGUAGCCUACGUUAGUUUAAAGAAAAGAAGUCCAUGAAAGUAUGCGAAGUCUUAACAAGCCGAUAGGGCGGCGAUUUUAAAUCUAUAAAAGCAAGCAAGUAAGCUUGCUAUGAUACAACGUAAAUGGGUAUAAAAGCAACGAUUUGCAAGAGUUGAAAACAAGGAAAAGCUAUAUUAAGUUUUGUGAAGUUUUAAAGUGUUAUAAGAGUUUUUUAAGACAGCUAAAGUAGAAUAAGUACACGCAUUAGUCACUUAGCCGAUUUCCUGCGACAAGGUUCUGAUAGCCUACAGACAUCAGACUAUUUGUUAAACAAAGCAACUCUAUGUUUAUGUAUCAAUCCCUAUCUAAAUAAAUAGCCUAUUAAAUAAAUAAUUCUUAUUUCCAUAAGUCAUCAAAAUAAUAUGUCAAAGCAAUGUUGUGGGACAACGGUCUCUUUGAAUUACGCAAAAUUAACUGCAAAAAGCCAGAAACUUGUUGGUGUGGGGUGUCGGGAUGCAGAGUUACAAAUUAACCAUAUCCACAGGGUAUAAAUUAGGUCAGCCACCCCCAUCAAGACGGCAUUAUAACUGGUUGAUGCCACUGAAAAGCCAUGAUCUAUGGUCAGGAAACGCUUGAAGAACUGGGCAGCCUAUCAGGUAUGUAACUUGCUAGGCCUAUAGUUUAAUUUUGCAUCUAUAACUAUAUGUAUAAGAAAAUUAUUUAGAUGUCUUAAUUUAUUUAACAGAUUUAGAAGAGUUCCUGCCCUCGACAGACACACCCGAUUUGACGCUUCAUGUGUUUGACCUGUCAAACUUUCAGCUUGCGUACAGCCAAGAAGGGUCUAUUCUUCAGACUGUUUAUCAAUUCUCUCUCUCUCUCUGUGGGUCUGUGUGUAUACUUUUAAAAUGUUUAUUUACUUAUUUAUCUGCUUUCAGCCAACAAUCAGACAGAAUGUACACCCGUAGUCGCGGAGUUGGAACGGUCAACGCAAUUGGUAGAAGAACAAGUUCAUGCAUGAAAUAUACAACUUUCUACAGAGUAUGAAAAUGACUUUAAAAUUUACGUUCACUUUUUAACAUUUAUUUUUCAGUCAUCUGAGUUGUGUUAUUUAUUUUUAAAAGCCCCUGAAAGUCAACCAGAAGGGAUCACUGAGGCACCGACUUCUUCGACGGAUACCGUUUCGGUACACUUUCCAAGUCUGAAGAGAAAACGCGAGGAUAGAAUUUCAGACAGCGAUACGGAUUUUCUAGAUGUGGAAUUGGAUCGAGAAGCGCUGCUUCAACCUCCAGAGGUUGUCCAAGAAACCGAAAAAUCAGAACUGUGUAUGCAAAUUUUGUUGCUGUUGAACCGUGAGUUGGCUGCUUCCAGACGAUGUUUGAAUAUUUUAGAAAAAAUAUUAAAUGGCACCGAAACGCCCGCGAGAUACACGCUCUGAAUCUCAGAGUAAUAAAAGACCAAAUGAUGUUGAAUGCUAAUCAUGAUACUAACCAUGACACUAACAGUUGAAACUUGCAACAGCAGCAAGCAGCGGUUUACCCUAACCUGUUACACUUUAUUACUGAUCUUAAUCGAGGCACAAUUAAUACACAUGCAGAGGUCGAACCUGUAGAGCAUGGGGGUGAUGAUGUGUUUGGGUGGCUGCUACGCGCUUUGGACGCUGUAAACCAUGCGAUAAGUAGUCACGUAGAACCAGAGAUAAGACCUAACAUUGUCGACAAACGUGCAUGCGGCUACAGAUACUACUAAUGAUGACCAAAAUGGUGGGGGCCUUAACGAUACAGAUAUGCAGGUGAUACGCAGACCACGUUUCAACAAUAAUUAGGUUACGGUUUAACUUUGCAUCUUUGUACGAUGUGGACAACAUUUUAUGUUCAUGUUUUAAACACCCUAGAACAUUUAAUGAACAAAGUUCAUGAUCUGGCGGCCCCAGAUGAUGCUGUACAGUUAGAGUUGUGGGAGGAUUCCCUGUCUGGGGGUGUAACUGUGCAGUUAACCGGGGACCAAGGCCAACAUAUAGCAAAUUUCAUAUGCUGUAUUGAUUUUAAUGGCGAGCGUUGGGUGGCGUCUGGCGAUAAAUGCGUAGAGAAUUUUACCAAAGGUAUCGGACUGCAAAGUACAAGGGCUACACAUUCAUUGCACACAAUUCAAAGGGGUACGACGGCUAGCAGCUCAUGCAGUAUUUAAUUGAACAAGGUGUAACACCGCAUCUAAUUGUACAGGGCAGUAAACUCUUGUGCAUUACUGACGAGGCUUUUGACCAGAGGUAUGUUGACUCCUUUUGUUUUCUAACAACUGAGUGCAAUGCUGGCUGCUCUAGGUUUUAAAAAUUCAAAAAAAGGCUACUUUCUCCAUUUCUGGAAUACAAUCGGUAACCAGAAUUACAUUGGCCUGUAUCCACCACCCUUGUACUAUGGGGUUGAUACAAUGAUGGAAAAGGAGAGGGAUGAAUUUAUGCGGUGGUACCCCUCUUGGGUGUCUAAUGACACUGACAAGGUGGAAUAUGUCCAAAGUUACUGGGAGAAGGAGGGCAUCCGCUUA